rnacentral:rRNA from 1 species
AUACGGAGGGUGCGAGCGUUACUCGGAAUCACUGGGCGUAAAGCGCGCGCAGGCGGCUUGGUAAGUUGGAUGUGAAAGCCUACGGCUCAACCGUAGAACUGCAUCCAAAACUGUCAAGCUAGAGUGUGGGAGAGGAAGAUGGAAUUAGUUGUGUAGGGGUAAAAUCCGUAGAGAUAACUAGGAAUACCAAAAGCGAAGGCAAUCUUCUGGAACACUACUGACGCUGAGGCGCGAAAGCGUGGGGAGCAAACAGGAGUAGAAACCCUAGUAGUCC